GAUGAGAAAAAGAUAAAUAAGAAAGAGAUGCAAUCUUAAAUGGAUAUAAAGUUUAACAGAAAAACAUUUUUCAAUUAUAUACACUUAUGGAGAAGAGAGGAAAAUCUCAUACACACUCCUAAACAGGGAAGAAAAAUGAUCACAGUUGAUCAUGUAAAGGAAAGUACCAACUCCUGGCUCAGAUAGCAAUUGAUAUAACUUCUUGAAGAGAAAUGAAUGACACCAAAGAUGUUUGUUUCAUAACAUGAUAACAGGCUACUCACAGGCAAGAAAGAGCUCUCAAGUGGAAUUUCAGCUGGCAGCUGCAGCCAUACUAGUGUUCUCAGGACACACCUGCCCUUUCUCGUUUCCUUUAUGUACUGGAACCACCAGCAGUCUUGGAGUGACGGAUCUUGAACUCUGAUUCUCAGUCUGCUGAAAUGGCAGCACAGAUGAAAAAAUGCCAGAAAAAACUAGGAGCAAGCAGACUCCAGCAGCAUGAAACUGCCAUCAACAGCAGCCCUCCCCCAGCUCACCCUUCCUGUUUUAUUUA